UCUUGCACAGGAGCUGACUGUAGCUGGGAGAAGACAUUUUACUCAUUUGCUCUCUCCUUUCAGUCAGCUGGCCCCUCUUCUCAGGUGUAGAUCACCUAGUGUAAUUCCACUAAUUCUCAUCCUCUGAGGAGGAACGUCCCAGAGCUUAGCGGCUGGAAUAGGCCUCACUGCCGAGACAGUGCUCAUCAGGGUCUGCAAGAAAGCCUGACAGGUUUCUCCGGAAAUGUGACCAUCCAUGGAAUGAAUGAAAUGUUCUCUUUCUAUCCCAACUACCAAUGGCAUUUUUCCUUAGCCUCAAGAGACCAUCGUAAAACAAUGGCUCACAGUGCUUUCAGAACAGGAACUGAAGUUGUGUACUGUGCAUGUAUAGUCCUACGCAAGAGGAAGGCAAUGUUUAAAGCUGCUGUCGCCUCCUGGAAAAAAAAAAAAGAAAAAAGCUGGGAUUCUGAGUCAAGUAUGUAUGUAUUUUAUGUUUUUCUAUCUUGUGGGUCUUUAUUGCUAAAACUGUUUUUAUGAAAUU